UGGAAAACUCUGCCCCUACCGCAAAAUCUCUCUCUCUUUCCCUCCCCCACAAAGAGGCUCCCUUAUCUCUCACUUUACAUACCGGCCCUAGCCCUCCCGCCGCCCAGCUUCCCGCCCAGCAGUUCAAACUGACCAACAGUUGCCCACCACCUCGGCUUUUGGCUUCCCCACCCCCCAGCCCUUCAGCCCCCUAUAAAACAACCCUGCCCCUCUGAGCAGCGCGGCCAUUUUUCCUUUUCGUCCCGGCUGGCCUGCCCGGAGGCUCUUUCCUCUCAAUAAAGCCUGAACUUAAGGAAUUUCCUCUAGCCUGCGGUCCGGUUUCUUUCCCAAUGAGCCCAGUCUUCCCGCAGAGGGUAGGUCGGACAAAUGGUGCCGGAAACCCGGGACGGGAGCUGAGGCCAUUGGCCCGGCCACGGCCCCCCUCCCCGACCUACCCAACACUGGCCCUGCCACCUCCACAUUCCGAUUAAGCCGAAUUCCAGAUGCUGCAAACUCCCCAUCGCUGCACCCGAUGAGCUGCCUUCCUACCCAUUGCCGUUGGAGUCUCCCUUGCUGGUUCAGCACUUGCAGCAGGAUUAGGAGGAGGGGCACUAGUCCACUCUCACCUGGCCAUAGCCCGACUGACCUCACAACUCCAAGCGGCUAUUAAUGACUCUACUGAGUCUUUAGCAUCACUCCAAUGACAGAUCACCUCAGUUGCCCAAGUUGCCUUGCAGAACCGAAGAGCCCUGGACCUGCUCACUGCUGAACGAGGAGGGACCUGUAUCUUCCUACAAGAAGAGUGCUGUUACUACAUCAAUGAAUCCGGCCUAGUAGAAACCCGAAUCGAGAGCCUCCAGAAACUCAAAACUAACCUGUAGAGUCAGAAGUUCUCGGCUGAAGCCACAGCGUGGUGGUCUUCCUCUAUGUAUACCCUCUUGUCACCAUUGCUUGGGCCCCUAAUAGCCGUUUGCCUAAUCUUACUUAUUGCUCCUUGCUUUCUCCAGUUCCUACAGCGGCUCUUUCAAGAACUGACUGGAGUCACCAUCCACCAGAUGCUGCUCCAACCCCACCCUGAACGAGUGCAAGAAACAGACCUCUCCCCAAACCUCCAGGCUCCUUAGGAAAAGAAACCUCUUCAGAACCCCCCGUCGACCCUUGUCAGCAGGAAGUAGCCAGAGAGACAACCGACACCCCUGACCCCCUCUUUUUCUUUUCUUUAAGGAGUCGGGAAUGUUUGGAAAACUCUGCCCCUACCGCAAAAUCUCUCUCUCUUUCCCUCCCCCACAAAGAGGCUCCCUUAUCUCUCACUUUACAUACCGGCCCUAGCCCUCCCGCCGCCCAGCUUCCCGCCCAGCAGUUCAAACUGACCAACAGUUGCCCACCACCUCGGCUUUUGGCUUCCCCACCCCCCAGCCCUUCAGCCCCCUAUAAAACAACCCUGCCCCUCUGAGCAGCGCGGCCAUUUUUCCUUUUCGUCCCGGCUGGCCUGCCCGGAGGCUCUUUCCUCUCAAUAAAGCCUGAACUUAAGGAA